rnacentral:rRNA from 1 species
UUGUGUCUACCCAACUACUCAUGUGUUAUGUGUGGCAUGCAGAAUCUUGAAACCAGGGAUAACCUCUUUUUCCACUGCUCGUUUGCUAAGCUCUGUUGUACUUAUCUCAUUCGAAGUUGGUCUCCGACUUUCACUGGAAUUCAGGAUGAAAUUGCUCACUUAAAGACUUUACUAGGGGUUCCUUUCAGCCUAGAAACUGUAAUUCUUGCCUCUUGGGCUAUUUGGCUUACCCGGAAUUGUGUCAUCUUCAAUGGCAGCAUUACCCCUAGUCUUUCCAGAUGUCGACAACGUUUCAAGGAGGAGAUCAAAUGGCUUAAAUACCGAGCAGCUACAAGGAAGGACUAUCCAACCUUCGAAGCCUAG